CAGCAGCCACGGUAAUACGAAGGGUGCAAGCGUUACUCGGAAUUACUGGGCGUAAAGCGUGUGUAGGUGGUUGUUUAAGUCUGUCGUGAAAGCCCUGGGCUCAACCUGGGAAUUGCGAUGGAUACUGGGCGACUAGAGUGCGGUAGAGGAUAGUGGAAUUUCCGGUGUAGCAGUGAAAUGCGUAGAGAUCGGAAGGAACAUCUGUGGCGAAGGCGGCCAUCUGGGACAACACUGACGCUGAGGCACGAAAGCGUGGGGAGCAAACGGGAUUAGAUACCCCUGUAGUCCCUGUCUCUUAUAC
rnacentral:rRNA from 1 species